GAUCCUCCCACCCUUUGUGUACCUACCUCUGUUGCUUUGGCGGGCCGCGGUCCUCCGCGGCCGCCCCCCUCCCCGGGGGGUGGCCAGCGCCCGCCAGAGGACCAUCAAACUCCAGUCAGUAAACGAUGCAGUCUGAAAAACAUUUAAUAAACUAAAACUUUCAACAACGGAUCUCUUGGUUCUGGCAUCGAUGAAGAACGCAGCGAAAUGCGAUAAGUAAUGUGAAUUGCAGAAUUCAGUGAAUCAUCGAAUCUUUGAACGCACAUUGCGCCCUUUGGUAUUCCGAAGGGCAUGCCUGUUCGAGCGUCAUUACAACCCUCAAGCUCUGCUUGGUAUUGGGCACCGUCCUUUGCGGGCGCGCCUCAAAGACCUCGGCGGUGGCGUCUUGCCUCAAGCGUAGUAGAACAUACAUCUCGCUUCGGAGCGCAGGGCGUCGCCCGCCGGACGAACCUUCUGAACUUUUCUCAAGGUUGACCUCGGAUCAGGUAGGGAUACCCGCUGAACUUAAGCAUAUCAAUAAGCGGAGG
rnacentral:rRNA from 1 species